UGGGGAAUUUUGCACAAUGGGGGAAACCCUGAUGCAGCGACGCCGCGUGAUUUAGAAGGCCUUCGGGUUGUAAAAAUCUUUUCUAUGGGAAGAAAAUGACAGUACAUUAGGAAUAAGGACCGGCUAAUUACGUGCCAGCAGCCGCGGUAAUACGUAAGGUCCGAGCGUUGUCCGGAAUCAUUGGGCGUAAAGGGUACGUAGGCGGGUAAGCAAGUUAGAAGUGAAAUCCUAUAGCUCAACUAUAGUAAGCUUUUAAAACUGCUCAUCUUGAGGUAUGGAAGGGAAAGUGGAAUUCCUAGUGUAGCGGUGAAAUGCGCAGAUAUUAGGAGGAAUACCGGUGGCGAAGGCGACUUUCUGGCCAUAACCUGACGCUGAGGUACGAAAGCGUGGGUAGCAAACAGG
rnacentral:rRNA from 1 species